GGAUUCUGUAGGCUCAUUCAAUGUCUGGAGCACGCGUCGGCCACUCCACCUCAGGCGCUCUGAAGCUGGCCGCAUGGAGACUGGGGGACGGUGAUAGGAUGGUCCUAGACCCCUUCCCUCUGUUUCUGCAACCUUGGUGAAUUGAAAAGGGAUCAAUAUCCUUUGUCAGCUCUACCAUACCAGAUGGCCAAGGGACAGAGGAAAAAUGGCAGGGCAGACCCCCUUGGAUUUGCCCACGUGGAGUUUGGAUAUUUACCUGACUUCUUUGUCAAGUCUUGGGCCUGAUGCAGGUAAAUGUGGCGGGGCCCUUGGAGAUCUGUUGGAGCAGUUGCAAGGGGCCACUGUAGACCAGCAAUCGCCAUGGCUGCAGCAUUGGUGCCAAGCAAGAAAUCCCAUCAUGUUCCACACACCAAGGCUGAGGAGGCAUAGAGUUGCCUGCUGCAGAUGAGUAGAGUAGCAGCCCUCUGUCCUUCCAUGAAAGGAGACUCCAUGGGAGACAAUGGUCAGGGGAGCUGUUACCACUGAAGGAAGGGGGAUAGUACUGACAGGACUGAUGGUAAUGAUGACAUCUAACGUACAUGGAGCAGCUCUAUCUGCCAGACACUAAGAGGAGAAUGAAGAGAUGGAGGCAGGAUGUGUCAAUGUCCGAUGGACCACCUUACCAUCUGGGGAAGAGGGAUGCCUCUAGUGAGAUGAGAAGCGGAAGAGCAAAAUCCCAAGUCCAAAGGACAUCAUGGAGGAAGGGAUUCUACUGGAGAGGCUCCACGUGGCUCAUCCCUUACCAAGAGAAUUGUGUUGCUGCAGAUGGCGAGCUGGCUCCGUGGGGGAAGGUGCUAGCCAUCAAGCCCCAUGACCUCAGUUUGAUUCCCUGGGACCCACACAGUGGGAGAACUGACUCCUGCAAGAUGCUCUCUGAUUUCCUCCACAUAGACAAAAAGUGAGGAAAUUCUUGCUAACUCUCUUAGUUCAGCCCACAAUCCUCCCAUCCUGCUAAUUAUUCCUAAAUUGAAAAUUAUCAGAAAAGAAGUUAUGCCUUGAGAAGAUUUCAAGAUCCGCACUCAUGGUCCACUCAAAUGAAGCAGGACCUGGAAUUUUCAAACUCUUUGUAUCACAGAUAAAACCCAAUGGCUAAACUUCUUUAUCCGUAGACCUUGAGCUCCAAUUACAUUUUCUUCCUGUCUGUGUUUCUAAGAAAUUGUCAGCCUGUGUAGAUUGCCUCAUAACAAGGGCAGGGCAUUGUUCACUGCAUCGAUUUUGGGGGGCUGAGUUAAGAAUAAUAAUGUUAUCUCUAAACUGGAGACGGGGAAGAAUUCCCUAGGGUUAGGAAGGACUCUGCCAGCACACCCCGUAUAUAGGCUGCUUUUGGUCCUCUUGUGAUUUUGGUCUCUAAAAACACUUGCUCUGAAUCUUAUUUACAUGUCCAAUAUCUUCAUUAACUAUUUAUAUAAGCAGAAAAAGUAUUUUCAUAGCAAUUACAAUGAGUUUGAUUACAAAGUUGCCUCUGGUCCUAUAGAUAGCCUACUCAUUUUAAAGUUAAGAAGAUGAGAUUCUAAGAAACUCCAAUAUUCAAUGCUAUUUUUUUUUGAAAAUUUCUUGCAAUAUGAC
ensembl:lncRNA